GCCCUUGUAGCUCAGUGGUAGAGCGCACCCUUGGUAAGGGCUUCUGGGCAAGCCAGUAAGGGCA
rnacentral:tRNA from 1 species